rnacentral:rRNA from 1 species
CCAAUAGCGUAUAUUAAAGUUGUUGCAGUUAAAAAGCUCGUAGUUGAAUUUCGGGAUUCUACCGUCGGUCGGGCUAACAAGUCUGUACUGGUGUGUAGAAUUUCUACCUUCUGGGGAACUAUCAUGUUAUUAAUUUAGCGUGGUGGGAAACCAGGACCUUUACCUUGAAAAAAUUAGAGUGUUCAAAGCAGGCUUACGUCUGAAUACAUUAGCAUGGAAUAAUAGGAUAGGACGGUGGUCCUGUUUUGUUGGUUUCUGAAUCACCGUAAUGAUUAAUAGGGAUAGUUGGGGGCAUUAGUAUUCAAUUGUCAGAGGUGAAAUUCUUGGACUUAUUGAAGACUAACUUCUGCGAAAGCAUUUGCCAAGGAUGUUUUCAUUAAUCAAGAACGAAAGUUAGGGGAUCGAAGACGAUCAGAUACCGUCGUAGUCUUAACCAUAAACUAUGCCGACUAGGGAUCGGACGAUGUUAAAUUUUAUUGACUCGUUCGGCGCCUUACG